rnacentral:rRNA from 1 species
AACGAACGCUGGCGGCGUGCCUAACACAUGCAAGUCGUGCGAGAAAGUUCCUUCGGGAGCGAGUAAAGCGGCGCACGGGUGAGUAACACGUAGGUAACCUGCCCCCCAGUCUGGAACAACUAGAGGAAACUCUAGCUAAUGCCGGAUGAGACCACGAUCCCUUCGGGGGUUGCGGCCAAAGAUGGCCUCUACUUGUAAGCUAUCGCUGAGGGAUGGGCCUGCGGGCCAUUAGCUUGUUGGUGAGGUAACGGCUCACCAAGGCUGUGAUGGCUAGCUGGUCUGAGAGGAUGACCAGCCACACUGGGACUGAGACACGGCCCAGACUCCUACGGGAGGCAGCAGUGGGGAAUAUUGCGCAAUGGGCGAAAGCCUGACGCAGCGACGCCGCGUGGGGGAUGAAGGUCUUUCGGGAUUGUAAACCCCUUUCGGAGGGAAGAUGGAGUGGGGUAACCACUUGGACGGUACCUCCAGAAGCAGCCACGGCUAACUUCGUGCCAGCAGCCGCGGUAA